GCGAAACAUUUUUGGUGACUUCUGGUAUUGUUCUCUAUUUUGGUGACAUGUUGUUGCUUACUAUUAAAAAGCUACAUGGACUAUUGAUGUCAUCAGAGUUAGUUACUGUAGAAUAUGAAAUAAGUAGAAGUGAGAUAAGCAUUAUAAUUCAGGGGCUUGUGCUUGGUCUUCUGCUAUAUCCAAUAGCUUUGAAAUAUAUUCUCCAAAUAUGGGAGUGGUUUAUAAAUACAGCUUCUGCUGAAGCAAAAAGAUACUAAGAUUGAGAGAUCUCUUAUGUUUGUUGCUUCCCUUGGAAUUGUCCUGAUUUUGAUUGUACCAUCAUGGAUGCAGUUCGUGCAUGAGUUUCGAAUGCAUCCUUUUUUCUGGUAUCUCAUCAAUAUCUGAUAUAGGUGGAUUAUUUUGUUUGCUGCC